UCUUUCGCUUACUCACUCGCUCAUUCAUUCAGAAAGCAUUUAUCCAGCACUUCCCAUGUGCCAAAUGUUGUCUUAAGGACUGAGUUCACCUGGAUGGAUAGGACACAGUUCUUGCCCACCAAGGCUCACGGCCAAGGUCAGGGAGGUACCGACUGAAUAAGAAGAUGCCUCUCAGCACGGUCUGCGCGGUGGUGGGGUGAGCAGACGAUGUGCUAGGAGCACAGGAGAGGGGCAGGCCAGGUUUAUGAAUCAGCCCAAGCCUUGACUUUGGACAAUCCACCCAUUUUCAGAGCUGGCAUGUCAGCCUCUGUCGACCACCACUUCUGACCUGUCUCCAAGCUUCUUCUCACACUGCCAAAGAGGGGAAGCACCUUGGUUCCCUCAACAGUUCCCUGCGGUCACCAGCCGCCGCAAAGCAGCUGAUCUUCCUGGUGACAUGUCGUCAGAAGGUCAGCAGUAGCGCAGCGCAUGUCACGGGGCCCACACCGCUCACCUCACUCCAUCUCAUCAUGGAGGCAUUUUAUCAUCUCACGUCAUCACAAG